AACGAUAGCUAAUACCGCAUAAUAGCAGUUGUUGCAUGAUAACUGUUUGAAAGGUGCAAUUGCACCACUACCAGAUGGACCUGCGUUGUAUUAGCUAGUUGGUGGGGUAACGGCUCACCAAGGCGACGAUACAUAGCCGACCUGAGAGGGUGAUCGGCCACACUGGGACUGAGACACGGCCCAGACUCCUACGGGAGGCAGCAGUAGGGAAUCUUCGGCAAUGGACGGAAGUCUGACCGAGCAACGCCGCGUGAGUGAAGAAGGUUUUCGGAUCGUAAAGCUCUGUUGUAAGAGAAGAACGAGUGUGAGAGUGGAAAGUUCACACUGGACGGUAUCUACCAGAAAAG
rnacentral:rRNA from 1 species